CGAGCAUGAAAGUGGCGUGGCGCAUUGGAGCCGGAGCCAUUGGAGCGGUGUUACUCAAAGAAGGAAGACAUGGUCGUUUUGAUCGUCAAGAAGAAGCAACAACUCAAUGGCGUGUGAAGUCAUUGAUUUCACAAAUCAAUGUGAUACUGCUUUACGGAGACUGAAUCGUCGAAUUACACCCAAGGACAAAGAGUGGAUGAAGAAAGUUUGGACCAAAUUUAUCCAGCAGCAUGCGCCUAGAGUGCAACCCAAAGAAAAUCUCAACACCAAUGGCAUGAUCAGAGUGUGUGAUGUGGACAUCAACGCUGUUGAGCUGUCUUCACUGGACAAUGAGAUGUUACUAGACAGCAUAAUUAUCUUCUCCUACUCACUUUUGAUGAUCCACAUGUCUGUAGC